UGUUGGAAACCUCACCCAUCUCUUGGCUUGCAGGAUGUCAUCCUCUCCUCCUGUCUGCCUGCCCCUUCUCAGUUUCCUUUACAGAGUUCCUCUUCUCUGCUGUGCACUACAUGCAGGGCUCUGCCUGAUAAAUCAGAUUAUAUCUAUUGAGGUCUUCUAUUUAAAAGAAUUAAUUGCCACAUGGAACUUCACUACUAUGGCAAGAUCAAGACUGGAUCUAGGAGAUCUCGGUUCAAUAUGGAGAUUAUCCAGAGAUUCUACUGUUGGAGCCAGAUGCUAUAACUGAAGAGGGUUAAAACUGUCUCCUUUUGGGACACCGAAACAUAGAAGCCUGCCCGGGAAGAGCAGGGUAGAACUUAUAUUCUCUUUGUUCAGCUUCCCAGAGGAAUAAGAAGGCCAGAGUGAAGCCAGGAUAGGAAGAAACAUGAAGCGAUGAAACAUACUGAACAAUUCCAUGUUUAUGGAAAAAAAUUCUGGUAAUGAACUUACUUCACACCAAAGAGACAAGGAGUAGCAUCAUUACCUCAAGCAAUAUUGCCAGAGAAAAUCUUGACACAGAGAAGACAAGCUCAGUGCUUAAUGUGAAAAUUUAUCUGCACAUACAGAACCAGUCCAUAAUACAGCACUGUUCACCAUGGUGAAGACAUGGAAUCAACCAAGGUGAUUAUCAAAAGGGAAGAGGAAUGGAUUAAAAAAUAUAUGGUAGAUAUAGACCAUGGAAUCCUAUGCUGCCGUAAAAGAGAACAAAAUCAUGUCCUUUGAGGCAACAGCAUGGAUGCAGCUGGAAGCCGUUAUCCUAAGUGAAUUAACAGAGGAACAGUAAACCAAACACCACACGGUCUUACUUAAAAGUGGGAGCUAAACAUUGGGUACUCAUGGACAUAAAGAUGCCUCAAUAGAUUACGAGGACAAACAGGAUUAAAAAACAUGCGUACUAUCCUCACCAUGUGGGACACAGGAUCAUUUUUACCCCAAACCUCAACAUCAUGCAAUAUACCCAUGUAACAAGCCUGUACAUGUACCUCCUGAAUCUACAAAAAAAAUGACUUUUUUUUUAAGAAUUUGCUGCAAUCUUGGAAAAAUUCUUCUUCAAAGUCUUCUAAAAGCAUUUUAACUUUUUAUUUACAUUUGGAAAUUCAAGCCAUCUAAAAUGAAAUCUAGCAUAUGGUCUGACAUAGGUGCCAACAUUAUUUUUAUAUACAUAUCCAGUUAAGGUGGCAUUAUUUAUUGAGAAGAUGAAGCUUCCUCUAUGGCUCUACAGUUUCUCCUUUGUCAUAGAUUAGUUUUCUCCAUUUUUGUGGGUUUGUUUGUAAACCCUGUAUUCUGUUCCACUGGUCUAUUUAUCAAUCCUUGUUUCAAUCCACACUGUUUAUAGUAAAGUGUUAUAAGAUGAUUUUUAGCUAUUAGUAUAAAAUUGCUGAUUUGCAAUUAUUCGAGACUGACUUUAUUAUUUCCUGCUUUGCAUUUCUACAUAUCUUUUAGAAUCAGCUUGUCAUUUCCCAUCCCCUUCAAAAAACACUACCAUUUUUAUUGGGAUUAUGUUGCAUCUAUAUAUACGAGAGAAUUGUCUUCUAAUUCAUAAAUAUAGCAUAUCCCAAUUUAUUUUAUUUGUUCUAAUAUCUCUUAACAAUGGUUUAUUUUCUACUUGAAGUUUCCACAGCCUUCAUUAGAUCCAUGCCAUUAUAAAUGGUAUCAUUAAAAACAAACAAACAAAAAAUUUACUUUCCGUUUGUUGCUAGUAUAUGUAACUACAAUUUAUUUUUAUACUAGCUUCAUGUCCAGUCCAGUGAUCAUCUCAAUUAACUAAUCCCAAUAAUUUGAGGUAUAUAUUUUUUUGAAUUUUCUAUGAAAAAAAAUCAUGUCUGCACAUAAGUUGAUUUUUAUUUCUGCAAUAUAAUUAUUUGGCUUAUUGUACUGGCUAGGCUUUGCCAGAUAAUUAUUAAUGGGUCAUAGGAGAUAUCCUUAUCUCAUUACAGAAGUCAUACAUCUUUCAUUAUUUCAUCAUUAAAUCUGAUAAUUCUUUCCAUUUUUAAAAUAAAUGCCUUGUUUCAGACUAAGAAAACUCUAUUUUAUUUCUAGUUUUCUGUUAUUUAAUAUUACAAAUGGGAUUUGAGAUGAUUAUUAUAAUUCUCUUUUUUGUUAAUUUAGAAAAUUGUAUUAAUUGAUCUAAAAAUUUUAAGCCACCCCUGAAGUCCUGAAAUAAAUUCAUUUUUAAAAUUUAUACAUUGUAUUUUAUUAAUUGAUAAUUUUUCUUGAUAAUAUUUUGUUUAUCAUUGUACUUAGUGAUGAAAUAAUUAUUUUUUAGGAUGUUGGUAUCAAGGUUAUGCUGGACUCAUAAAAAGAAUGUGGCAUAUUCUCAGUUUAUAAAAGUGGCUAUUUAGGACUGGUAUAAUUUAUUAUUUGUUUAAAGGUUUGAGUACAGAGUUUCUUCUGGAUAUGGAGUUUUAUCCAGAUAAUUAUUUUAAUUAGAUUCAAUUCUAAUAGGUUUUUAAAUUCAAUUCUAAUUAGAUUUUUUAUUUCUUCUAUCAGUUUUGAAAAUCUGUUUUUCUAAGAAUUUUAUUUAUUUUUUUCUAUUUAUUGGCAUAAAUUUGUUUAUAAUAUUCUGAUUUUUUUGAUUAUGUAUUCCCACAAUCACCCUGUGAAAUAAACUACCUUAAGAUUUACUGGCUUAAAAC
rnacentral:lncRNA from 1 species